UACGGAGGGUGCAAACGUUGCUCGGAAUCAUUGGGCGUAAAGCGCACGUAGGCGGCCUGAUAAGUCGGGUGUGAAAUCCCUGGGCUCAACCCAGGAACUGCACUCGAAACUUCUUUUCUUGAGUGCCGGAGAGGAAAGCGGAAUUCCUGGUGUAGAGGUGAAAUUCGUAGAUAUCAGGAGGAACACCAGUGGCGAAGGCGGCUUUCUGGACGGUAACUGACGCUGAGA
rnacentral:rRNA from 1 species